AACGAACGCUGGCGGCAUGCCUAACACAUGCAAGUCGAACGAGAUCUUCGGGUCUAGUGGCGCACGGGUGCGUAACGCGUGGGAAUCUGCCCUUUGGUUCGGAAUAACAGUUGGAAACGACUGCUAAUACCGGAUGAUGACGAAAUUCCAAAGAUUUAUCGCCAGAGGAUGAGCCCGCGUAGGAUUAGCUAGUUGGUGUGGUAAAGGCGCACCAAGGCGACGAUCCUUAGCUGGUCUGAGAGGAUGAGCAGCCACACUGGGACUGAGACACGGCACAGACUCCUACGGGAGGCAGCAGUGGGGAAUAUUGGACAAUGGGCGAAAGCCUGAUCCAGCAAUGCCGCGUGAGUGAUGAAGGCCUUAGGGUUGUAAAGCUCUUUUACCCGGGAUGAUAAUGACAGUACCGGGAGAAUAAGCUCCGGCUAACUCCGUGCCAGCCGCCGCGGUAA
rnacentral:rRNA from 1 species